rnacentral:rRNA from 1 species
CAGUAGCCACGGUAAUACGGAGGGUGCAAGCGUUAAUCGGAAUUACUGGGCGUAAAGCGCACGCAGGCGGUCUGACAAGUCAGAUGUGAAAUCCCCGGGCUUAACCUGGGAACUGCAUUUGAAACUGUCAGGCUGGAGUCUUGUAGAGGGGGGUGGAAUUCCAGGUGUAGCGGUGAAAUGCGUAGAGAUCUGGAGGAAUACCGGUGGCGAAGGCGGCCCCCUGGACAAAGACUGACGCUCAGGUGCGAAAGCGUGGGGAGCAAACAGGAUUAGAGACCCGUGUAGUCCCUGUCUCUUAUAC